rnacentral:tRNA from 1 species
GCGGGAGUAGCUCAGUUGGUAGAGCGCAACAUUGCCAAGGUUGAGGUCGCGAGUUCGAGACUCGUCUCCCGCUCCA